UCCCGAACGUGCCUACUAAACGCACUAGAAGGGAGGAAGCGAGGACAAUCGCGUGAGGGGUCGAUAGUUAGAAUAUGAGAAUGUCCUCCCCUCUCCUCUGAUCACCGCCAGCAACUCCAGAUCUUUCUUAAAACUUUGAUCCGAUAAUCUCCCUCUGAUUAACCCCUGAGUGGCUUCCAAUUGCAAACCGAAUAGAAUCUCGCUUUCUUCCCUUGGGUCGCGGGUGUGAAGGGUUCCGGCCCCCACCCCUCCCUCCCACCUAGCUCCGCCCCGCCCGCUCAAGGCGCCCGACCGCGCGGUGUAGACCGGGAAAACAGCAGCUUUGCACUCUGCGAGCUGCUCCUGCCUCCCUCCCGGGGCCAGCUUCUCCCUGAGGUCAGCCUUUGACACCAGCUUUCCCAGCCCCGCUUUCCCUCGAAGCUGCUCCCACAAGCUGCCCCUAUUUCCUUUCCCUAACUUGUCGACUCCUGGAAAAUAAGGACCAUAUAUCAUUCACUACCCUACCCCCGAGGCCAGCAACGGAACCUGGACCGUGCUUGGCUGAUGUGAGUGCAUUGAAGAGCUUUGAACUACUGGACAUGGAACAGAUAAGAGGAAGAGACCAAAUGCUCACUGGAGGGGAGUGAUAUGCCGACCAAAGACAUCCCCAAACAUGAAGCUGUCCUGCUGGGAUUGUCCUGCCAGUGGUCGUUUUCCUUCCUGCCUUCUCGAAUACUCCCAACCCCAAAGCAAAGGGCCCCUCUGCACAAAGGUUGAGAUUGCGUCCCAGCUGUGGCCACAACAGCGACAUCGAUCCUCAUCUGUUCCCCACCACUGAAUUCUCCACUGCGCAUUAGAAACAAGCAAUGCAGCCUCCGCUACCAGCGACACCGGCGGGACCUGGCUUUUAGAAGUAAGAUUGAAUGGCUAUUAGAAGGGGUGACGGCUAUAACCUAACACUGUACAGAGAGACCAAGGUAAUGAAGUAACACAGCAUCGUAGAAUGUGGAUAUCUGGAAGGCUCUUUAGACAUCAUUCUGGCCAACCCCUUUGCUUUACAGGUGAAGAAACCCAGGACCAAAGAGGUUAAUUGACUUAUCCAAGGUCAUAGUGUGAAUUAUUGUCCUUUGGUUGUUCAGGUCACCCUUAAACAAAAAUUUUUUUCCCAAGGUUGCUAAGAGUUCAGAAUUCAUAGUCCAUCAGCUUUAAUAGUUUAAAUGCUUCCCUUUAGAACUCAUUCAUCGGCGGUGAAUCAUGGGAACCUAUCAUGAACAUGCCCCACAUGUUAUAGGUGAUUAAAAAAGGGGAAAGAGGUUUCUGCACCUAAUAUCUUACAAUUGAAUUGGAGACUUAAGAAAUAUAAAUGGCAAGAGGAAAAAUGAAAUUCUUAGGUAGGUAAAAAAAAAAAUGAAAUCCUUGAUGUAUGCGUGUAAAUGCUGUGCAUAAAGAGAAUUCUACGGAGUAGGUGUCCUAUGCUUUAUCUUAAAGAAACUAAAGACCACGUGUUUGUAUUAAUAUUUAGAGAGCCAUUAAUUUACUAUUGGGAUUAUAAAGUAAAAGUGAUAAAUAGCAAUUUAUAUUUUGUGUUCUAUAAUGUCCGUGUAUAAAGUUUCCUGGGCGUUUCAGCAGCCACCAAAAUCACUGAAAAUAUGUUUAUGGCCCACGAAAAAAUUCCAUUUGAAUCUUGGCUCUUUGAAACAUAGCUUCCGCUCUUCAUCCUUAGUGCCUCAUUUCUAGUAUAAAGUGGUCAGAUUAGAUGAUCUUUAAGGUUCCUACAAAUUUCCACUUUCCUUGAUUAGGGAGUGACUAAAAACAAAAGGCAAAAU